GGAAGAGAUCGUUCCCCGGUGGGACGGCCGGUCUUCAAAACCGGUAGGGCCUGUCAGACAGGCCUUGGUAGGUUCGACUCCUGCUCUCUUCCGCCA
rnacentral:tRNA from 1 species